UGUCUCUCUGCCCUUUGCUCCCUGCAAAUCAUUUAUCACCUCUUGCUCCUCACCUUUCUCUUGUCUCAUAGGGUUUUUUCUUUUUCUGAUUCUAAAAAUAAUAUGCCUCUAGCAAACUGACCAGAGUAUAGAGGGAAAAAAUUCACCAGAAAGCCACCAUCCUACCGUGGCACUGUGCAGACACUGGGACAAAGUGAUGAACAGCACGGACUCAGUAAACAUGGAAACAAGAGCAUCUCCUCUGCACUUGGCUUUUCCAAAAUCGUGGCUGCACCGUCUCAGGGAGCCCACUCUAAGGUUGGGCUAAUCUCCCAGGCCCAGAGUGGAUCCCUGCCAGUUCCUGGCGUCAGACCCUCCCUGGAGCCUCAUAGCUGGCCAGGUCACCCUCUUUUGGACAGGAAGCCCCUCUUGGCCUGCCCCCUCAUUCUCCAGCCUCUCCUUUCCUCCCUCCCCUCUCCUCCUCCUGUCUACCCACCUCCCCACUUCCUCUCAGCCUCACACAAAGGCACAGGCCUUUCUCUCCCCCUCACAAUCGGCCAUAUGGCUCUAUUAUUCUAAUAUUCUGGAGACUUAUGACAACAAUGCUGAGGAACCGAACUGUCGGGUGCUCUGAGGUGCCAGCCUUGCCUUGAAGACACAUCUGGGCUGAAAGCCACUCUCCGGAAGGCAGAUGAGAACCAGAAAAGCGAAGGGACUACCAAGAUUACACAGCUGUUAGCGGCAGAACUGAGAUUCCACCUGGAUCUUCUGGCCACGAUGCCAACUCUUUGCCCAUCAAACCAGAGUGUCCCCAGGAUUCCCGAGGGCAGGGAGCUGGACACAGCUACUGUGGACCCAGGGAAGCGCUGACCAUCAGGAUUUGGCAGUGAGAGCCUCCGUCCAUCUCCCACCCUCCGGACUUCGAUGUUGGGGCCAGCAGACAGGAGCCAUCAGACACGUUCUUUUCGGGCUGCCUCUUCCUCCGUCCAGCUCAGGUGACUGGUGGCCCCUCUGGGCCCAACCAGUCUGGGCAAGAAGCAGCCCCAGCUCUGUCAGAUGCCCAGGGUGGCCCACCCCCCUUCCUGGAGCCCAGCCAGCCCUCUCAGCUGGACUCUUGACCCUCUGUUUUCCUGUUUCUCUGCAGGAAAUGAGCUCUGAAAGACAAGCGCUGAGUGGGGUCCAGACAACAUAUCCAUGCUCAGGGCAGGAAGUAGGAAGGCGGGCAGGGAGGUCCCAGGCAUAUCUGUCCCCUUCUCUCAGAAAAACAAUGCUUUUAUACAAAUCUCCCCAGCAGACUUCUGCUUGUUCUCUUUGGAAAGAACCAGAACAUGUGGCCAUUCCUAGCUGCAAGAAAGUCUGGGAAAAAGGGAGCAAGAUUAUCAUGAUUGGCUUAGACCAGGGUCAGCAACCUUCCGUGAAGGCCUAGAUGGUAAAGACUUGAGGCUUGGUGGCCGUAGACUCUGUCACAACUACUCAACUCUGCCUUUGAAGCACGAAAGCAGCCCCAGACAAUACACAACAAAUGGGUGUGGCUGUGUUCCCA
rnacentral:lncRNA from 1 species